UUCAAAGGGCUGUAACUUUUGAACUAGUGGCCCAAUCUUGGAACUGUUUGAAAUUAUGGAUUCUACAGGCCAAAUUCAACUGAUUUGAUCUGAUUUAGUUCACAAAUAUCUCGGCUCUUUUGGGAUACAUACUUACCCAUCAAAAGAUCUUUUUUAAUCCGACUUCACUUUUUAGCCGGUCUCAAGCGGUACCUACCUUCAUCGCUAGCUAUCUAAAACGACGAAGACCGAAGGAACUAGUCAACUCUGCAAUUCUCAACAAAGACCAACAUUCUUAGGGAUGAGUACUAUUCACCAUCACCACUUCGAAUUCGGCGCUGUCAUUAUCAUCAUUCCGGUCCAUCCGCCAUCGAGGUUUACUGUUAAGGUAGCUACUAGUAGUCAAUCAAAGUGACAAUGGUGUUUCACUACUAGUAGCUUCAAUUGAGAACAAAAUAUACGUAUCAAGUUAUUUAUUUUUUAAGUUAUCACUGUUACAGGAAGAUCUUUGUAAUACAAAAAAGAAACGUAUUUCAUUUGUUCAUCUCUAGAAUAAUAUUGUACUGCCCUAACUGCACUUUGCUGGUAGCUCGCACUAGUUCAUCACACGACAUAGUCUCUCCACCCCCCCCCCCCC